AUACUCUGGUUUCUCUCCAGAAUGUAUCAGUCUUUGGUCUUUUACCAAAGGCGUCUGGAGAUGCAACGAUUGUGAGUAAACGGCACAAAACAACAACAACCAAUUUUUGGAAGCCCUGCAUAGUGGCAGGGCU
rnacentral:snRNA from 1 species